rnacentral:piRNA from 1 species
UCUGACAUUUCAAAUCCUGAGGA